GAAAAAUUCACAUAAUUUUGGAAACAAGGGUCACACAUCCGUGUGCCUCACACGGGUGAGACACACGCUCGUGUCUCAGGCCAUGUAACCUUCGAACUAAGGACACACGGUCGUGUCCGAGCCCAUGUCCUCACCCAUGUAACUCUCUAAGUAGGGUCACACGGCCGCUUCACACACCCGUGUGCCAGGCUGUGUAACUCUCUGAGUUGCCCCAUGUAACACCCCUAACCCCUAUCUAUC
rnacentral:lncRNA from 1 species